rnacentral:rRNA from 1 species
UACGUAGGGCGCAAGCGUUAUCCGGAAUUAUUGGGCGUAAAGAGCUCGUAGGCGGUUUGUCGCGUCUGCUGUGAAAGACCGGGGCUCAACUCCGGUUCUGCAGUGGGUACGGGCAGACUAGAGUGCAGUAGGGGAGACUGGAAUUCCUGGUGUAGCGGUGAAAUGCGCAGAUAUCAGGAGAACACCGAUGGCGAAGGCAGGUCUCUGGGCUGUAACUGACGCUGAGGAGCGAAAGCAUGGGGAGCGAACAGG